GUAAAUUGUCUGACCACGAGAAAAAAAUAAGGCUUCCUAUCAAAAAAUUAUUUAAAUGAGAGAUAUGUGUAACUUAUACACUGAUGAAAGGCAUUAAAUGAUGUUGCUUAUAUACCAACGAUAUUUAUAUUUUUAAGUUGUAAAUAUAUGGUGUGUACAGUCUACUGAUUCUUAAUCUAGUACUUCAAUUUCUUAUGUCUUUUUGUGAUUUAUUACAAAUUUUCUUCUUUCUCCUUUUACGUAGGGGGCCUGGGGAAUGUAUGUUAGUUGGCAAUUUAUUAGAUAUCUAUUAACGUGUAGGGGAAAUGAUAUGAGCAUUCAUCUUUCAUUAGAACUUCAACUGCUGCUUAUUUAUUUACUUAUUUUUGUUUUGGUGACCGCAGGUUCACUUCUGUAAUGAAAGGAAACGGGAAUCUGUAGCCUUGGGUGUUUGCUUGAAAAAUGAAGUGGAAAUAAAAGGUCCAUCAAAUAUUUAUGACAUGAAAACUAUUUAUAUAUGAAAAUAUUGUGACUGAUUGUCUAUCACUCGUGGUUCAUGAUUGUUUUUCCUUCAAAUACAACUUACAUACUCUUCCAUCAAAAUUAAUCGUCUACAAACCAAUAAAAAAAUGACUAAAUGGAAAAUUAUGAACAUUCAAAGCGAGAUUUAUUUUUCAUUAGCCCUGUCUUUUUUUAUUUUUAAAUUUUGUAGAUGAUUUGUUGAAUCAUCUUUGUGCCUUUUUGGCUAAGCUUGGUCACAUAUGAAUGUGUCGUUACCAUUUGGGAGUUUACCUUUGAUUGGAGUAGAGAUUGG
rnacentral:lncRNA from 1 species